rnacentral:tRNA from 1 species
GCGGUUGUGGCGGAAUCGGCAGACGCACCAUCUUGAGGGGGUGGCGCCCACAAGGCGUGUGAGUUCAAAUCUCACCAACCGCACCA